rnacentral:sRNA from 22 species
ACUUGGCGACUUGCAUGCCUGCCCGAUUCCGGGCCACGGCAUCACGCCCAUUGUGACGGCUUCAAGCGAUGU